AGUGAACGCUGGCGGUAGGCCUAACACAUGCAAGUCGAACGGCAGCACAGUAAGAGCUUGCUCUUACGGGUGGCGAGUGGCGGACGGGUGAGGAAUACAUCGGAAUCUACUUUUUCGUGGGGGAUAACGUAGGGAAACUUACGCUCAUACCGCAUACGACCUACGGGUGAAAGCAGGGGAUCUUCGGACCUUUCGCGAUUGAAUGAGCCGAUUUCGGAUUAGCUAGUUGGCGGGGUAAAUGCCCACCAAGGCGACGAUCCGUAGCUGGUCUGAGAGGAUGAUCAGCCACACUGGAACUGAGACACGGUCCAUACUCCUACGGGAGGCAGCAGUGGGGAAUAUUGGACAAUGGGCGCAAGCCUGAUCCAGCCAUACCGCGUGGGUGAAGAAGGCCUUCGGGUUGUAAAGCCCUUUUGUUGGGAAAGAAAAGCAGCAGGUUAAUACCCCGCUGUUCUGACGGUACCCAAAGAAUAAGCACCGGCUAACUUCGUG
rnacentral:rRNA from 1 species